rnacentral:rRNA from 1 species
CAAUAGCGUAUAUUAAAGUUGUUGCAGUUAAAAAGCUCGUAGUUGGAUUUGUGGCUGUCACGGGCGGCCUAUCACUUAGUGUUAGUGCUUGCCUGUGUCGCCAUCCUUGGGUGGAGCCCGUGUGGCAUUAGGUUGUCGUGCGGGGGAUGCCCAUCGUUUACUGUGAGAAAAUUAGAGUGUUCAAAGCAGGCUUAUGCCAUUGAAUAUGUUAGCAUGGAAUAAUAAGAUAGGACCUCGGUACUAUUUUGUUGGUUUGCGCACCGAGGUAAUGAUUAAUAGGGACAGUUGGGGGUAUUCGUAUUUCAUUGUCAGGGGUGAAAUUCUUGGAUUUCUGAAAGACGAACUACUGCGAAAGCAUUUACCAAGGAUGUUUUCAUUAA